rnacentral:rRNA from 1 species
UACGUAGGGCGCAAGCGUUGUCCGGAAUUAUUGGGCGUAAAGAGCUCGUAGGUGGUUUGUUACGUCUGCUGUGAAAACCUAGGGCUUAACCCUGGGCCUGCAGUGGAUACGGGCAGACUAGAGGUAGGUAGGGGAGAAUGGAAUUCCCGGUGUAGCGGUGAAAUGCGCAGAUAUCGGGGGGAACACCGGUGGCGAAGGCGGUUCUCUGGGCCUUACCUGACACUGAGGAGCGAAAGCGUGGGGAGCGAACAGG